rnacentral:rRNA from 1 species
CCUACGUGUGGCAGCAGUGGGGAAUAUUGCACAAUGGGGGAAACCCUGAUGCAGCAACGCCGCGUGAGUGAAGACGUAUUUCGGUAUGUAAAGCUCUAUCAGCAGGGAAGAAGAUGACGGUACCUGAUUCACAACCCCCGGCUAACUACGUGCCAGCAGACGCGGUAAUACGUAGGGGGCAAGCGUUAUACGGAUGUACUGGGUGUUAAGGGAGCGCAGGCGGCAGUGCAAGUCUGGAGUGAAAGCCCGGGGCCCAACCCCGGAACUGCGCUGGAAACUGUGCGGCUAGAGUACUGGAGAGGCAGGCGGAAUUCCUAGUGUAGCGGUGAAAUGCGUAGAUAUUAGGAGGAACACCAGUGGCGAAGGCGGCCUGCUGGACAGUAACUGACGUUGAGGCUCGAAAGCGUGGGGAGCAAACAGGAUUAGAUACCCGGGUAGUC